rnacentral:rRNA from 1 species
GAACGCUGGCGAGAUGCCUUACACAUGCAAGUCAUACGAGAAUUUUUAAUUCAAGUGGCGGACGGGUGAGUAACACGUAAGAAUUUGCCUUUAGGAGGGGGACAACAACUGGAAACGGUUGCUAAUACCCCAUAUGCUUUCGAGUGAAAUGGAUUUUUCCGCCUAGAGAGAAGCUUGCGGCUGAUUAGCUUGUUGGUGAGGUAAUGGCUUACCAAGGCGACGAUCAGUAUCUGGUUUGAGAGGAUGAUCAGACACACUGGAACUGAGACACGGUCCAGACUCCUACGGGAGGCAGCAGUGGGGAAUUUUCCGCAAUGGGCGAAAGCCUGACGGAGCAAUCUCGCGUGAGGGAUGACGGCCUAUGGGUUGUAAACCUCUUUUUUCAGGGAGGAAUAAAUGACGUGUACCUGAAGAAUAAGCAUCGGCUAACUCCGUGCCAGCAGCCGCGGUAAGACGGAGGAUGCAAGUGUUAUCCGGAAUCACUGGGCGUAAAGCGUCUGUAGGUGGUUUAAUAAGUCAACUGUUAAAUCUUGAAGCUCAACUUCAAAAUCGCAGUCGAAACUAUUAGACUAGAGUAUAGUAGGGGUAAAGGGAAUUUCCAGUGGAGCGGUGAAAUGCGUAGAUAUUGGAAAGAACACCGAUGGCGAAGCACUUUACUGGGCUAUUACUGACACUCAGAGACGAAAGCUAGGGUAGCAAUGGGAUUAGAUACCCAGUAGUCCUAGCCGUAAACCUGGAUACUAGAUGUUGACAAGAUCGACCUGUGCGG